GGCGCCGUGGCCGAGCGGCUAGGCAAGGGUCUGCAAAACCCUGUACAACGGUUCGAAUCCGUUCGGCGCCU
rnacentral:tRNA from 4 species